rnacentral:rRNA from 1 species
UACGGGGGGGGCAAGCGUUGUUCGGAAUUACUGGGCGUAAAGGGCUCGUAGGCGGCCAACUAAGUCAGACGUGAAAUCCCUCGGCUUAACCGGGGAACUGCAUCUGAUACUGGAUGGCUUGAGUUCGGGAGAGGGAUGCGGAAUUCCAGGUGUAGCGGUGAAAUGCGUAGAUAUCUGGAGGAACACCGGGUGGCGAAGGCGGCAUCCUGGACCGACACUGACGCUGAGGAGCGAAAGCCAGGGGAGCAAACGGGG